GCCCCCAUUCUAGCCCCCCCCCCCCGCAUGCUAACCCCAACCUCCCUAGUUUUUAUAAAACAUUUUAACUUUGAAGUAGAGGCGAUCGAAACACAUAUAGGCGCUCCAGAUUUAGUACCGCAAGGGAAAUGUGAAAUAUUACUGAAAUAAUUAUCAAGCCCCUAACAGUAGAGACUCCCACUCGUACCUUUUGCAUCAUGGUCUAGCUAGUCUCAUCAAGCAAAACGACUUUUAGUUUGACCCCCCGAAACCAAGUGAGCUACUCCUAAACAGCUUUUUUAGAGCCAACCCGUCUCUGUUGCAAAAGAGUGGGAUAAUUUAUGAGUAGAGGUGACAGACCUAUCGAACUUAGAGAUAGCUGGUUUUUUAAGAAAAGAAUUUUAGUUCAGCCUCAAGCUUCCCUUUAACCAAAAAAUCACCCAAGGCUUGAGAGUUAUUCAAAUAAGGCACAGCUUAUUUGAAACAGGACACAACCUAGAAUACAGGGUAAAAACAGACUAAAUUGACUAAUAAGUGGGCCUAAAAGCAGCCACCUUUCAAAAAGCGUCAAAGCUUGGUAGUGCCAAUUUUCCCAAUAACCUACAUACUUUUUAACCCGCACACACUAUUAAAUAAAUCCAUAAAGCUAUGGAAGCUAUAAUGCUAGAACAAGUAACAAGAAAAAGAAUUUCUCCAAAAUGUAAGCCUCAGCCGCAAUAGACAACCUGCCGGCGAUUAACGCCCAUGAGCCCAAUAUAACAACACUACAAGAAAACCCUAUAGACCCCCCCCCCCCCAGCGUCAACCUUACACCAGCACAUUUAUGGAAAGAUUAAAAGAGCGGGAAGGAACUCGGCAAAUUCUGAUCCCGCCUGUUUACCAAAAACAUCGCCUUUUGAUUAAAUAUAAAAGGUCCAGCCUGCCCGGUGACAAGAUUUAACGGCCGCGGUACCCUAACCGUGCGAAGGUAGCAUAAUCACUUGUUCUUUAAAUGAGGACUCGUAUCAACGGCAUCACGAGGAUCCUACUGUCUCCCCCCUCUAAUCGGUGAAACUGAUCUCUCCGUGAAGAAGCGGAGAUGUACAUAUAAGACGAGAAGACCCCAUGGAGCUUUAAACCCAACAACACCCGCCCCCCUCCAAAUCCUAUUAUUUACCCGGUGAUUGUUUGUUUGGUUUUAGGUUGGGGUGACCGCGGAGUAUAAGAUAUCCUCCAUGAAAAAAAGCUAACUGCCCUUAUUAGAGAAAGACACUUCCAAAAAAUAAUAAAUUAAUUUUAAAUGAUCCGACAUUCGAUCAACGAACCAAGUUACCCUGGGGAUAACAGCGCAAUCCGUCCCGAGAGCCCCUAUCGACAGGCGGGUUUACGACCUCGAUGUUGGAUCAGGGUAUCCCAGUGGUGCAGCAGCUACUAAAGGUUCGUUUGUUCAACGAUUAAAACCCUACGUGAUCUGAGUUCAGACCGGAGUAAUCCAGGUCGGUUUCUAUCUAUAAAAAGUUAUCUCUAGUACGAAAGGAUCGAAGUAACGCGGCCAAUGCAUAGGUAAACCGCCCCCCGCCAAUUAUGCCACAACUUAAUUUAUCAAGGACUGAAAGCCCCCCCCCCCCAAGAACAGGAC
rnacentral:rRNA from 1 species